GACAAGUCGAACUCUAGUGCGAGU
rnacentral:miRNA from 1 species